CAGCAAGCUGGGCUCUGCUCGCCUCUUCCAGGCCAAAGACAGAUGGGAGAGGUGCCAGGCUUCCGUCCAGACCGGGGCAGCCAGCCAGCCCCUGCCUCCGAGGUCCCCGUCAUGUGCCCUGCCCCAGCCUGCUGGAGGGACUGAGACCCAGAGGCACAGGCAGGGCUGGCUGAGGAAAGCCUCCUGACAGUGCUGUCCUGUACACAGCCACAUGGGACGACAAUGGCCCAGAGUGGGAAAGCAGAGGACAGGACAACCGACAGGCUCUGGCUAUGUUGCCUACACUGGUCUCAAACUCCUGGACUCAAAGCAAUUCUCCUGCCUUGGCCUCCUGAGGAGCUGUGUGUGCACCACAGAAACCAGUUCUUAAUAAAAACAAAACUAAUCAAUGGGGAACGGAAAGAUCUAAACUCACAGAUCCCAGACUCAAAUGGAGCUGCAGCCACACGGCGGCCCCAGGCCACGGCCCAGCUCCUGGAACUCGUCAUCUUCCCUGCCGGCUGGAAGGACCCACGAGGGACUCGAGGGACUCGGGGGCGCGCUGACCGCCCCGCCCCGCCCCGGGGGUAGGAAUCUGCCUGGCAACAGGAGCCCCUGCACCGCGGCGCCGCCACCUACCCCGGCGGGGGCGGGCGUUGGCCUCUCGGAGCGGCUGAAACCGAU
ensembl:lncRNA